AUUGAACGCUGGCGGCAGGCCUAACACAUGCAAGUCGAGCGGCAGCGGGACCUUCGGGUUGCCGGCGAGCGGCGGACGGGUGAGUAAUGCCUAGGAAUCUGCCUGUUAGUGGGGGAUAACGCGGGGAAACUCGCGCUAAUACCGCAUACGUCCUACGGGAGAAAGCGGGGGCUCUUCGGACCUCGCGCUAACAGAUGAGCCUAGGUCGGAUUAGCUAGUUGGUGGGGUAAUGGCCCACCAAGGCGACGAUCCGUAACUGGUCUGAGGGGAUGAUCAGUCACACUGGAACUGAGACCCAGUCCAGACUCCUACGGGAGGCAGCAGUGGGGAAUAUUGGACAAUGGGCGAAAGCCUGAUCCAGCCAUGCCGCGUGUGUGAAGAAGGUCUUCGGAUUGUAAAGCACUUUAAGUCGGGAGGAAGGGCUGUAGGCUAAUACCUUGCAGUUUUGACGUUACCGACAGAAUAAGCACCGGCUAACUUCGUGCCAGCAGCCGCGGUAAUAC
rnacentral:rRNA from 1 species